rfam:Echinops telfairi cont1.292065, whole genome shotgun sequence.
GCCUUUUCUCCCCAGACUUGCUGGCGUGGGCUACAGAGAAGCCUGCAAGCUCUGAGGGAAAGACC